GUACAUAUACAUAGUUUCAUCAAUAUUACAUAGUUUCAUCCAUAGGUAACAAGUUUCGCAAGGUCAAAACAAAAACUAAAUACAAGCACUCCAUUAACCCAAGCUUCCGUGAUCUUAAGCAAAUCUGUAAAAUGGGAAAGAAGAAAGUUAGAAGAAGAAGACUAGAAGAAGAAGAUUAUUAUGAGACGGUUGUAAGCUUCUAACGUCUCUACGUUUGAUCCAUAAGCUAAGCAUAUGAAGUCAUUUAGGACCUAAAAUAUGUCAUUUCUUAAGCAUAUUAUAUCAUUUUAGAGCUAGCUAAGCAUAUUAAGUCAUUUUGGAGGAAAAGAUGCUAAGUAUAGGUCAUUUUAGAGCUAUCCUAGGUUAAAUAUGUCAUUUUAAGCUAGCUAAGCAUAUUAAGUCAUUUUGGAGGAAAAAUGCUAAGUAUAGGUCAUUUUAGAGCUAUCCUAGGUUAAAUAUGUCAUUUUGGAGCUAAUUAAGCUUAUUAUGUCAUUUUUGAGCUAGCUAAGCAUAUUGAGUCAUUUUGGAGGAAAAAAUGCUAAGCAUAUGAUUAUGUCGCUAGUAUCCAUAUGGCAGAGAACCCAGGCCGACAUGACUAGUCAUAGAACCAAGGUGGCACAAACGUACAGGGACAGGCAUACAUGACCCAGCAAUGCACGUGUCGGUCAUCAGCGAGUGCAACCAAGUCGUAGCAAGCUACAAGGACUUCGGUGAUACACCGUGUGACAUUUCCCCGUAGGGAUAGACACAGGAGCAAAGAAGGACACAUGCCGGUCAAUCCAUGUGUUCCGGAGCAGUAGCGAACUACCAUGGCUCAGUGGAAGCACUAGGAGGCAUUUCCCUGUAUGGAAGGCUACCAAAGGCACACGACUAGGUGUCGAAUCCCACACAUACAAUGCAUUUCAAACAUACACACAUUAUGCACGAUAUGUGUAGAUACAACAUGGCAUCACAACAAAACCCUAUUAAGAAAAACACUUGGGAAACUUACCGUCAUCACAGAGGUGUAGGUGUAGGUGUAGGACUGGUCGCGCCAGUGGCAGACGGAGAAGGAUCGGUCGAUGCUUGUCGG
rnacentral:lncRNA from 1 species